rnacentral:lncRNA from 1 species
UUACAUAAUUAUAUAUUAUAUACUUACAUAUACCGGGUUGAUUCGAAUAAGGUCCAAGCUGGACCCGAACACCCAAUCUGAGCCCAGUCGGGUCGAAGUCAUUUGGAAUUGGACCCGACCCACCAGAUCCAACACCUGGACCCAGUUUACACAGCGGGUCGACCUGAUCCAAUUGCCACUUCCACCCAUGGAGCAUCCGUCUAUGUUAACCUUUAUGAUCCCUUGAGGGGCCAGGGUCCAUACUGGUUGGUUGGUUUGGAUUGAAGUACAUCCCUCCAGUAAGAUUCGAAACCUGUUUUGGAGAAGCUGUUAAGAAGCUUGCAAUUGUUGGCCCAAAAAUUCAUGAGAUCUCCAGCUCUUUCUGCAGUGCUCUCAUGCGACAUUUGGCUUCUCGAAAGACAUGCGAGUUUCUUCUUCCUCUCCGCAAAGUGGGUGUCUUCUGCAAGGUUGAAUCAUCUCCUUUUUAGUUGGCUUAAAGGUAAGUUUCAUUUGGAGAUAACAAGCUAGGUUAAGGCUUGGAUUUUAUUUUCUUUUUAUUUUUGGGUUGGGGGGGGGGGGGGGGGGUUGUUUGGUGGUUGGGCCAGGCUUUGUUGUGAGUGGAGAAAGAGUGGGAGGAGGCAGGGUGGAGUGCUUUAUAGGAGGAGGCCACUAAGAAAACCCUAGAGUGAGCUUUAGCCCAUGUUUACCCUUUCACACCCAGAACCCUUGAUGAAACAAGAGGGAAGAAGGCUGUGAGGUCAUCAAAUUCAUAGUCUUGGAGCUCUCCUCUACGUUGGUGUCUUGGUCUGGUUACUGUUGUUUUGUUGGAAAUAACAAGCAGUGGUAUUGGGGUUGAUAGCAACAACCAGGAGAUUUGCCCAAAUUUCUUUGAGUGAUUGAUUGCCCAUCCAAGUGUGGGUCCAAAAGAGAGCUUUUACUCCAAAAUUUACUUUUGAACCUUAUAAAAAGGCAUGAGAAACUCUCACAACUGUAAGAGUUUCUGAAAAAUCCACAGGAGACUGCGGCUCUUGGGUUCCUAUCAGGAAAACAGCCCAGCGGAUCAGUGCCACAUUUCUAGAGUACCUAGCACCAAAAAAAUUUAUGGUUGGUCCGUUAGUGGUAAGUGCCACCAUGAUUUGCCAAUAAGGAUCCAAUUUUGAGUAGGAUUGAGUCAAGGAUUGCCCAGUUGACAUGGUCAUUAGUCUUUUCCCAGUCCAGUUUCAAAGUAAAUCCAAGCUUUUUUAUUUGGUGCCUAUAAUGUAAGGCUUUGUGAGACCAAGGGCUUCAUAGAAGAUAUGCCUAUUAUUAACAUAACCAUUAGAGUUUUUGGAAAUGACUUGAUCCAAGGCAGUUUUAAGCCUAAAGGCAAGGACCUUGGAGAUGAUUUUAUAAGUGGAGCUGAUGGUCUUUCCCUCAACUUUGGGGAUGAGGGCAAUGAAAGUGGCAUUCAUUUCUUUGUUGAUGAUGCUUUUGUGGUAAAAGUCAUCGACAAAAGGCUAAGAAAGGUUAGCAAAGUUGGAGUUCAAGGUAAGGAAUGAGAGGUUAGCAAAGUGAGAACGAGCCCCUGAUUGGACAUAAUACAGACUUUAGAGAAAGGAUAUAGUGACAAAGUCCACCACAUUGGGUUCAACAAACAAGUUUUGACCAUUAGAGAUUUUGGCAUGGAGUUGGCUCGACAACUGCAACUAGCUAUUCUAUGAAAGAAAGCUGUAUUUUUGUCACCCACUCCUAGCCGCUUGACUGUGGAUCUUUGAUACCAGUAAAUCCCUUUUUGAGAAUUUGGAGGUAUACUCGGAUUUGGCAUCCUUCCUCCUUUCCUUUGAGUCUCAACAGUUGAUCGAUUUCUGGUCUCUUUUGGAGAGUCAAGAUCCUUAAUUUCUGUGUGAAGGGAGGUUUCGAGGCAUCCAAAGUUGAUAGGUUUUGUUCUACUCCACUCUUUACUUGUUUGUUUGAGCAAGCGCAUCUUUGAGUCUAAAGCCGACCCACCCAUUGGCAGACGACCACCACCAGUUGCAAACCAGGUUGUCGGAAGAGGGGUCUUCUAGCCAGAUUAGUUCGAACCUAAAGAGUUUAGCACCAGUGGCGAUUGGUAGGGUUUCUAGAAGAUGUGUUUGCCAGAAGUUGGCCUGGCCAAGUAGGAGUGGGUGCCGAGGAACUUAUCAUCCCUUUAGGAGGAUAUCAGAAUGUGGUCGAGCUUGCCAAGGGUCGGUUGGAGGAAUGCUUGGACAAAGUAUAGGAGGAGCCAUUAAGGGUUAUGUCGAUGAGAUUGUUCUCUGAAAUGAAAUCCAAUAAAGGUAACAUACAAGCAGUGAUUCUGAAGUUUCAGCUGGACUCAUACAACUGUCUGAGAACAUUGAAAUCUCCACCGAGGACCCAAGGAUUGGGAGGGGACUUGACCACCAAGUUAAGCUUGUUCCACAAGACUUGCUUAGGAUUGGGUCUAUUAUACAUACACUGCCAUGAACUUCCACGAGAAAUUGUUAGGGGUUCUGGUGAGGUAUAUUCAAUAGACCCUUGUAGAGCUAGAACAGAGAAUAUGGAUGGAAGGGUCCUAAAAGACCCAUAUUCCUCUUGAGGUUCCUAAAGCUUCUAAGGCAAUCCACUGGCAGGUUCAUCUACCUCAAAUGCUUCUAAUGUCGGAAAGUUGAGCCAAAGAAGAUUUUGUUUUUGAGAUGGCUUUGAUUUUUUGAGUUUAUUGGGUAGAGAAAGUGAGAAUUGUUACUUCUUUUGGGGAUCGUCAAUCCCCCAAAUGUUCCAUGUGAUAAUCCUCAUUUGGGAGGAUGGGAGAAUAAAGUGAGUGGCCUUGGGUGGCGUGUGGGAGAGUGGAUGUUGGGAAAGGAGGAAGAUGUCGAACUCUGGGGGAGUUGAGCAUCAUAGUUUAUGUUGGUUGAGGAGUUGGCGUAAUACCCUUACUCCUUACCUGAACCGUGUUGUUCUGAAUGAUUUCCUAGAGAUCAGUGGCAGUUCCAUUGUAGCCGAAGCCAUUUCUUCCAACAUCUCGAGCUUGGACUCAUCAUGAUCUCCUCCUCAUUAACAAUCUAGGCUGAUUCUCAGGGCAAAUCCUCUUGGCGGAGGGGGAGGGGGGGAGGCCUCUCAGGGACAAGGUUAGAUGUGUGAAUUUGUGCUCUAAAAAUUGGGGACAGUAAUGAGUGUGGAGAAAUGGGCAAUUGAUUGGUAGAGAGUAGAGACUGGCUGGAAGGAGGGGUUGGGUGGCCAAGAUGGGGGAAUGAGGUCGGGGGCAUGGGAAACAAAGGAGAGACUAGGCAGCGGUGGUGGUGAAUAAUAGUUAAGAACAUGGAUUACUUUGGGUGGGAGGAAACUUCCCGUGAUUUAGAACUCAAAAUUGUUGCAUGUUAGAUCUUCGAUUAGGGUUGUGUUCUCAAGACAUGUACUUCAUGGCGCUACAAGGCACCAUGGAUCUAACAUAUCCGUAGGGCCAAAAGUACCACCUAUCUAGUAAAUCAGUGGCACUAUGGCAUUUUGUCAUCCUUUUGAACCCAUGUAGGUCAUUUCUCUUAUUAAUAUGAUAUAAUAUAAUAUUAUUAUAACAUGAUAUUAUAUAAGAGAAAUGAUCUUAUAGGAACCCCCCUUCCCCCCACCUAUGUGUAGGACCCCAAAAGAUCACCAUGUGAUAAUUUUUCUAGAGAAGUCAAGUCCCACACCCAUGUGAUAAUUUUUCUAGAGAUCCAUGUCAACUUUAAUGGUUAUCCUUUAGGGUCUUAUACACAUAAGUGGGGGAGGGUCUUAUAGGAUAAUUUUUCUAGAGAUCCAAAUUUUUCUAUAAAUCUAUAGAAAAGUCAAGUUCUACACCCAUGUGAUAAAUUUUCUAGAGAUCCAUGUCAACUUUAAUGGUGAUCCUUUAGAGUCCUACACACAUAGGUGGAGGAGGGUCCUAUAGGAUCAUUACUCUAUUAAUAAUAUUAAUAUUAUGUAUUUACAUUAUGCAUAGUGAAUAGUGAUCAACAAAAAAGUUCUGAAAGAUCAAGUUCUUAAACCCCCUAAGAAUUUAAUCUUUCACUUUUUAACAAAGAAUGGGAACUUUUGUUGAAAGAUUAGUUUUGAACUUUUCAUGGAAAGUGUGAAACAAAUGUAGAACUUUUUCAAAAACUGAAAAAAUACUUUCAUAAAAACAAAUACACCCUAAAAAAUGCCCACUGACUUCCCCCUUUUCGCUGAAGCACACAAGCACUUGUCUUCCAUAGCCAACCCAAAAGAGGGCUCCAAAAUAAAUAUCAUAACAAUGGUUUUAUGCUUUUUCAGAAACCUCUAGAUUCGUAGUAAACACUUUUUUGCCUACUUUGAUACUUCGCCUACAUUCUCUCUCUCUCUCUCUCUCU